UUAAAUUGAAGAGUUUGAUCAUGGCUCAGAUUGAACGCUGGCGGCAGGCCUAACACAUGCAAGUCGAACGGUAACAGGAAGCAGCUUGCUGCUUUGCUGACGAGUGGCGGACGGGUGAGUAAUGUCUGGGAAACUGCCUGAUGGAGGGGGAUAACUACUGGAAACGGUGGCUAAUACCGCAUAACGUCGCAAGACCAAAGAGGGGGACCUUCGGGCCUCUUGCCAUCAGAUGUGCCCAGAUGGGAUUAGCUUGUUGGUGAGGUAACGGCU
rnacentral:rRNA from 1 species